CUCACUGCUUCUUGUGCUUUUGCAACAUGCAUUUAAAAAAUAUUGCUUUAUUCUUCUGUGUUAAGACUUCAGUAGCAAAUUAACAUCAUCUAGCAGUAGAGAGGGAAGAAUAUGCUGCGAUUGGUAGAGCAUGUCAGUUUCAUAACAGCUAACAGUCACUGAACAGCAAAAGCUUUCUGCUCAGGUGCUAUGCUUGGCCUCAAAAUUCUCACUGGCAAGGGACAGCUCCCUGUCAUUCUUAAUGGACUACAGCAGCCCCAAGCCAAAGGGUGAUUCAGAUUCCUACAGUGUUCUUAUCAGUGCUAUCGAGUGCAUACAGAAGAUGUAAAUGAUCUGUGUGUAUUUGCAUCAACCAUCCUAUUGUUGGCUAAGUAGUUUGGUUAAUUAUCCUAAGCAUCGCAUAGUUGGUCAAUAGAAGGAAUAAAUAUUUUCUGAAGUGGAACCCGAGCCUGAGAUGAAUGUAGUAGCUGUUUGCAAUUGCUCUCUGCAGAUCAUAUUGAUUUCCUACUGUAAAAAUAGUUAAUAUUAGCAGAAAAUUUGAACUAGAAGGUUGGUGAGCAAAAGAUGGAUGAUGUCACAAGCAGCUUGACAUGGAAUUUCAGAACAUUCGGAGCCUAAAUGCAGUUUUAAAAUGAAACCUGGAAGGAAAAAGAAAGUUAAAGUGCUUGCGAAGUCCAGGGUGACUGUCUGGGAUGUCAUGGUUAACUUUCUCACAAAUCUAUUAAGCUAUAUCUUUCACCCCAGUUAAGUCUUACAGAAAACAACUAAUCCCCAGGGCAUCAUACUGUGAAAAGCUGAAGCCAGAAAUAAGUUUUUUUAGCAGUUGUAUACUCUGUGAAGGGUCUUUCUUUUCUUUUUUUGUAGAAUUACUUAACUGUACUCACUGGAGCUUUUGUGAAGAACACAUCAAGGUAUGUUAACUGAAAACUGAAAUUAAACAGAGAGCACUCUGAGCUCAGGUCCAAGGGAUUCUGAGGACAAGGCUGAGUAAUGAAAAAAGAUUCAUCUCCUGAGUAAGAAAGGCCAUAGGCCAAUGUUUUAGAGCACUAUACUUUUUUUGCAUGCCAUUAUUGAAACAUGCAACAGAUAUUUGGUAGAAAUUCACUGUUCAUAACUCAUUAGAAAAAUAAUGCAAAGAUCCUUCACCUGUAAAGCUUUUUACUGACAUUUAAUGAUUUUUUAAAUGUACCUUCUAAUCUAUUUUGCCCUGUAUCAAUCAGCUCCUGUGAAUCUCUGUCUUAAUGUAAUAUAUUCACUACAUCAUGAGCUAAGUGGUCUCAAUUGUGGAAUCAUAAUCUCUUCACAUUUAGCAGGAAAACUUGGCAGGGAAAAACACUAUUUUUCCUAAGAACAAUGGAAAAUACAAAAUGGGCAUUCAUAGAUUGCCUAUAAUUACAUCUCACUAUUUUAGUCACAAGAACAAAAUAAGUCCACAUUUUUUGAAAAGAGAUUCCUGU